AUAAUAGUCUGAAGGUGAUUCCGUCUUCACUUGGAUCUCGUGACAAUACCUUGCUUAAUCCAGUCACAUUCAGUCAUCGGCUAUGCUUCUACCAGAUUUACAGUCCAGAAGAAAGAAUGUUUGAAGGUCGUGCCGACAUCACUAGAUACAUUCAGACAAAUUUAAAUAGCACCUUUUGCAAUGCACCUUGUACCAUUCUUACGGA